UUGACUACUGGGGGAAAGGCACACAAGUAACUGUCUCAAGUACAGAACUUAAGCUGCCUGCAAAGCUUAUGAUGUCUGAGUGUAGUUCCUCUGAUUCCGGAAUGCGUGGGUGUCUGGCCUCUGGGUAUUUUCCUGGAACAGAAGUCAGUUUCAAAUGGACAGAUCAAAGUGGAAAAGCUCUGACUGACUUUGUCCAGUAUCCUACAGUAACAACUGGAGAAAAAACGCUGAGAUUCAGUCACAUCAAAGUUACACAGAAUAAAGCCAAUGCAACAUGUGAACUUGUGCACUCAUUCCAAAAAGCACCAACCCUGAGCUUGAUUCCCGUAACAACUCAGAAAAGUACAUCUGUCAUGUGUGUUAUUGAGGACUUCUACCCCGACAAUGUCACUGUACAAUGGAAAGUGAAUAAUACUAACAUGCAGCAACAGACAAAAAUGGAUAAUGGAAAAAACAAAGGGACAGGCCUCUACAUAACACAGGAUCUUUAUGUAGUGAGCAGUGAGGUAUGGGAUGAACAUACUAAUUAUACCUGUGAGGUCACACACAUGGGCCAAGUUAAAUCUGAGAAGAAAAACUUCAAAGCUACACUGGCACUGACUCUGAAGACCCCAAUACAGAGAGAAUUAUUUGUCAACAAUAAAGUAAUCUUGCAGGCUGUUAUUUCUGGAAAUGAACGCAGCUCAGUGGAAAGUGCUUUAGUGUCAUGCAAAUUGGAGAAUGAAGCAAUAACAUUACAAAAAAAUGAGGUUCCAUCUCCAAAAGACAUUUCAGAGUUUCGGAUAAUCUACAACGUCACUGUUGAUACAAAAAAAUGGUUUGAAGGUGAAAAGGUCACCUGUAGCAUCAGUGACAAAAACAUCAAGCAAGAGAUCUAUUUUAAUAAAGGAGAUGCAAAGAAACCACAAGUUACCCUUUAUAAACAAGACAUUGACAGCACAGACCCUACACACAUUUCUCUGGUGUGUGAGGUCACCAGUCCUAAACUUGGUGAUGUUUACAUCAUGUGGAAAGUAGAUAAUAAAGAAUAUGAAGAGGGUUAUACCAGUGCUCCAAUCCGUCGAGAGGACUCCACAUCUGUCAUCAGCAUUUAUAAAGUAUCUAAAGAAGAGUUUAGAAAAAACGCAAUCUCCUGUUCAGUCCAAUAUGACAAAAACAAGCCAGAAUCAAAAUCAACAUCACAAAAUGAGCCUCCAGAACCUGAGACAGACUUUGCAUUGGACUGCAAUGAAGAUGUUUUAGAGGAGGAUGAGUUCAGAAGUCUCUGGUCUACUGCCACAUCCUUCAUCUUCCUCUUCCUCUUUUCUCUGACCUACAGCGCUCUACUCAGUCUAUCUAAGAUGAAGCAGUGAGAAAUACCAAGCAUCAAAGUUUAAUUUCAGCAGUUAUUAUUUCAUUAUGAUCUCAAUACUUGACAUGGUCUUACUCCAUAUAUUUUCAAAAAUGCUCUUCACAUUAUGUAGAAAACAGAAAAGAAGACUUCAGCUGGGUCUUGACAGCAGGGUCAGAUAUGACCCAGAUGUGAUUUUUCAUGUGGAAUAAUUCAUUAUAUAGGAAAUUAGUUAUAUUGUCAAAGCUUUAACAGAUAAUGUAAAGAUUUUGUAUAUUGGUAGUUGGAAUUGCUGAGCUAGAAAUUAAAAUACGGUAGACUAUACAC